AGUGAACGCUGGCGGUAGGCCUAACACAUGCAAGUCGAACGGCAGCACAGUAAGAGCUUGCUCUUACGGGUGGCGAGUGGCGGACGGGUGAGGAAUACAUCGGAAUCUACUUUUUCGUGGGGGAUAACGUAGGGAAACUUACGCUAAUACCGCAUACGACCUACGGGUGAAAGCAGGGGAUCUUCGGACCUUGCGCGAUUGAAUGAGCCGAUGUCGGAUUUGCUAGUUGGCGGGGGAAAGGCCCACCAAGGCGACGAUCCGUAGCUGGUCUGAGAGGAUGAUCAGCCACACUGGAGCUGAGACGCGGUCCAGACUCCUACGGGAGGCAGCAGUGGGGAAUAUUGGACAAUGGGCGCAAGCCUGAUCCAGCCAUACCGCGUGGGUGAAGAAGGCCUUCGGGUUGUAAAGCCCUUUUGUUGGGAAAGAAAAGCAGCAGGUUAAUACCCCGCUGUUCUGACGGUACCCAAAGAAUAAGCACCGGCUAACUUCGUG
rnacentral:rRNA from 1 species